rnacentral:rRNA from 1 species
UACGUAGGGUGCGAGCGUUAAUCGGAAUUACUGGGCGUAAAGCGUGCGCAGGCGGUUUUGUAAGCCAGAUGUGAAAUCCCCGGGCUUAACCUGGGAAUGGCAUUUGGGACUGCAAGGCUUGAGUGCGGCAGAGGAGACUGGAAUUCCUGGUGUAGCAGUGAAAUGCGUAGAUAUCAGGAGGAACACCGAUGGCGAAGGCAGGUCUCUGGGCUGACACUGAACUACGAAAGCGUGGGGAGCAAACAGG